rnacentral:rRNA from 1 species
AUUGAACGCUGGCGGCAGGCUUAACACAUGCAAGUCGAGCGGGGUGAUGGUGCUUGCACUAUCACUUAGCGGCGGACGGGUGAGUAAUGCUUAGGAAUCUGCCUAUUAGUGGGGGACAACAUCUCGAAAGGGAUGCUAAUACCGCAUACGUCCUACGGGAGAAAGCAGGGGAUCACUUGUGACCUUGCGCUAAUAGAUGAGCCUAAGCCGGAUUAGCUAGUUGGUGGGGUAAAGGCCUACCAAGGCGACGAUCUGUAGCGGGUCUGGGAGGAUGAUCCGCCACACUGGGACUGAGACACGGCCCAGACUCCUACGGGAGGCAGCAGUGGGGAAUAUUGGACAAUGGGGAGAACUCUGAUCCAGACAUGCCGCGUGUGUGAAGAAGGCCUUAUGGUUGUAAAGCACUUUAAGCGAGGAGGAGGCUCUUUUGGUUAAUACCCAAGAUGAGUGGACGUUACUCGCAGAAUAAGCACCGGCUAACUCUGUGCCAGCAGCCGCGGUAA